UACGGGAGGCAGCAGUGGGGAAUAUUGCACAAUGGGCGCAAGCCUGAUGCAGCCAUGCCGCGUGUAUGAAGAAGGCCUUCGGGUUGUAAAGUACUUUCAGUCGUGAGGAAGGUGUUAAGGUUAAUAACCUUAGCAAUUGACGUUAGCGACAGAAGAAGCACCGGCUAACUCCGUGCCAGCAGCCGCGGUAAUACGGAGGGUGCGAGCGUUAAUCGGAAUUACUGGGCGUAAAGGGCACGCAGGCGGUUAAUUAAGUUGGAUGUGAAAUCCCCGGGCUUAACCUGGGAAUGGCAUUCAAGACUGGUUAGCUAGAGUCUUGUAGAGGGGGUAGAAUUCCAUGUGUAGCGGUGAAAUGCGUAGAGAUGUGGAGGAAUACCGGUGGCGAAGGCGGCCCCCUGGACAAAGCCUGACGCUCA
rnacentral:rRNA from 1 species